CUGCUUUCAGGGAAGUCCAAAAGGGCUCAGAAGGGGGAGGGGGAGCUGCUGUAUCUGCCUUAUGUUACCAGCCAGGUUCAGGUCUGUCCUGCUGGUGCACGGUAAAUCAAUUACUGUGACAUAAGUUUUGUAAAAGAAAGAAGAUUUAUUCACAAGACUGCUGAGAAAGGAGGUGGGAGAACAGCUCUCAAAAAUCCGCCUCUCUGAAGAAAACAUCUGACCCACAGCGGCCCCAGUUUGCUCAACCCACUUGGCUACACUAUGGAUAAAGUGUCUGCUCUUCCAGAGCAUCCUGCCUGCUGGAGACAGAACUCCGGCAUUUCCCUUUGAGCUAUGUACCAUAUGGAUAAGUAGAAAAAUACAGCUUUACUCAUUAUUUACAUAC